CCUACGGGGGGCAGCAGUGAGGAAUAUUGGUCAAUGGACGAAAGUCUGAACCAGCCAAGUAGCGUGAAGGAUGAAUGCGCUAAGGAUUGUAAACUUCUUUUGUCAAGGGAUAAAACGAGGCACGUGUGCCUUUUUGCGGGUACUUUAUGAAUAAGGAUCGGCUAACUCCGUGCCAGCAGCUGCGGUAAUACGGAGGAUCCGAGCGUUAUCCGGAUUUAUUGGGUUUAAAGGGAGCGUAGAUGGGUUGUUAAGUCAGUUGUGAAAGUUUGGGGCUCAACCGUAAAAGAGCAAUUGAUACUGGCAGUCUUGAGAACAGGUGAGGUAGGCGGAAUGCGUGGUGUAGCGGUGAAAUGCUUAGAUAUUACGAAGAACUCCGAUUGCGAAGGCAGCUUACCA
rnacentral:rRNA from 1 species